UCUCCGUUGGUGAACCAGCGGAGGGAUCAUUACCGAGUUUACAACUCCCAAACCCAAUGUGAACGUUACCAAACUGUUGCCUCGGCGGGAUCUCUGCCCCGGGUGCGUCGCAGCCCCGGACCAAGGCGCCCGCCGGAGGACCAACCAAAACUCUUUUUGUAUACCCCCUCGCGGGUUUUUUAUAAUCUGAGCCUUCUCGGCGCCUCUCGUAGGCGUUUCGAAAAUGAAUCAAAACUUUCAACAACGGAUCUCUUGGUUCUGGCAUCGAUGAAGAACGCAGCGAAAUGCGAUAAGUAAUGUGAAUUGCAGAAUUCAGUGAAUCAUCGAAUCUUUGAACGCACAUUGCGCCCGCCAGUAUUCUGGCGGGCAUGCCUGUCCGAGCGUCAUUUCAACCCUCGAACCCCUCCGGGGGGUCGGCGUUGGGGAUCGGCCCUCCCUUAGCGGGUGGCCGUCUCCGAAAUACAGUGGCGGUCUCGCCGCAGCCUCUCCUGCGCAGUAGUUUGCACACUCGCAUCGGGAGCGCGGCGCGUCCACAGCCGUUAAACACCCAACUUCUGAAAUGUUGACCUCGGAUCAGGUAGGAAUACCCGCUGAACUUAAGCAUAUCAAUA
rnacentral:rRNA from 1 species